UAUAAAAUUUUUUAAAACACUAACAUCUUAAUUUCUAGCUAAUUGUCCUCCCCAUCAUAUAAAUCUCAUUCCAUAAUACAUUUAUCUUACCUAACACCCUCCAAAAAUUUCUAAACUUUGCAAAAUGGUGGAGCAAUGAGUUAACAACCUCCAAUUAAAUUUUCAGAUCGAAAUACCUAGUCAUUAAAUGGUUGUAAAAUCUCGGAUUACCAUAGGCUGGAAUCUAUCUGCCCA
rnacentral:lncRNA from 1 species